rnacentral:rRNA from 1 species
AGCAGCCGCGGUAAUUCCAGCUCCAAUAGCGUAUAUUAAAGUUGUUGCAGUUAAAAAGCUCGUAGUUGAAUUUCGGGAUUGACCCAUCGGUCGUGCCCUAAGGGGUAUGAACUGGUGUAGUCAAUUUCUCACCUUCUGGAGAACCGUGAUGUCCUUAAUUGGGUGCCACGAGGAACCAGGACCUUUACUUUGAAAAAAUUAGAGUGUUUAAAGCAGGCAUUUUUGCUUGAAUACAUUAGCAUGGAAUAAUAAAAUAGGACGGCAUGAUUCUAUUUUGUUGGUUUCUAGGAUCACCGUAAUGAUUAAUAGGGAUAGUUGGGGGCAUUAGUAUUCAAUUGUCAGAGGUGAAAUUCUUGGAUUUAUUGAAGACUAACUACUGCGAAAGCAUUUGCCAAGGAUGUUUUCAUUAAUCAAGAACGAAAGUUAGGGAUCGAAGACGAUCAGAUACCGUCGUAGUCUUAACCAUAAACUAUGCCGACCAGGAAUCAGACGAUGUUAAUUUUUAAUGUACUCGUUUGGC